UACAGAGGUCUCAAGCGUUGUUCGGAUUCAUUGGGCGUAAAGGGUGCGUAGGCGGCGCGGUAAGUCGGGUGUGAAAUCUUGGAGCUUAACUCCGAAACUGCAUUCGAUACUGCCGUGCUUGAGGACUGGAGAGGAGACUGGAAUUUACGGUGUAGCGGUGAAAUGCGUAGAUAUCAGGAGGAACACCGGUGGCGAAGGCGGGUCUCUGGGCCGUAACUGACGCUGAGGAGCGAAAGCAUGGGGAGCGAACAGG
rnacentral:rRNA from 1 species